UAAGAAUCUGCCCCUCGGUCGGGGACAACUCUUGGAAACGAGAGCUAAUACCCGAUACGCUGUGGAGUGAAAGAAUUUCGCCGAGGGAUGAUCUUGCGUCUGAUUAGCUAGUUGGUGUGGUAACUGCACACCAAGGCGACGAUCAGUAGCUGGUCUGAGAGGAUGGACAGCCACAUUGGAACUGAGACACGGUCCAAACUCCUACGGGAGGCAGCAGUGGGGAAUUUUCCGCAAUGGACGAAAGUCUGACGGAGCGACGCUGCGUGAAGGAUGACGGCCCGCGGGUUGUAAACUUCUUUUCUCGAAGAAGAAACAAAUGACGGUAUUCGAGGAAUAAGCAUCGGCUAACUCCGUGCCAGCAGCCGCGGUAAGACGGAGGAUGCAAGUGUUAUUCGGAAUGAUUGGGCGUAAAGAGUCUGUAGGCUGUAUAGAAAGUCUUUUGUUAAAUUCCUCGGCUCAACCGAGAUCAAGCAAAGGAAACUUCUAUACUUGAGGGAAG
rnacentral:rRNA from 1 species